rnacentral:rRNA from 1 species
AUAAUAAUAAUAAUAACAAAACAAAAUAAAUGCAAAUAAAAUAUAAUAUGAUAAAAUGGGGCAUACAUCACGAGUUUUUUC